CCCUUAGAUGUUCUGGGCCGCACGCGCGCUACACUGACGAAGUCAGCGAGCAUGUCCUACGCCGACAGGUGCGGGGAAUCUUGUCAAACUUCGUCGUGAUGGGGAUUGAUUAUUGAAAUUCUUGAUCAUCAACGAGGAAUUCCUAGUAAGCGCAAGUCAGCAGCUUGCGUUGAUUACGUCCCUGCCCUUUGUACACACCGCCCGUCGCUCCUACCGAUGAGUCGUCCGGUGAAGUUCGUAGACCUCGUGAUCGCGGAUCACUGGGGGAAGCAAAAUGAACCUCGCGGUUUAGAGGAAGGAGAAGUCGUAACA
rnacentral:rRNA from 1 species